GAAAUGCGAUAAGUAAUGUGAAUUGCAGAAUUCAGUGAAUCAUCGAAUCUUUGAACGCACCUUGCGCCUCUUGGUAUUCCGAGAGGUAUGCCUGUUUGAGUGUCAUGAAACCUCACCCCCUCUGGGUUUUUGACCUGGUCGGCGGUGGAUUGGGCGCCUGCCGUCACUGGCUCGCCUGAAAAGCAUAAGCACCUUGGAUGUAAUACGUUUCAUCCUCUCGGGUGGCUGACAACCCCACAUACUUCAUGAUCUGGCCUCAAAUCAGGUAGGGCUACCCGCUGAACUUAAGC
rnacentral:misc_RNA from 1 species